ACGUAGGAGGCAAGCGUUAUCCGGAGUUACUGGGCGUAAAGGGCGUGCAGGCGGUUGGCUAAGUUCGUUGUGAAAGCGCCCAGGCUUAACCAGGCGAGGACAAUGAAGACUGGUCAGCUAGAGUGCGUCAGAGGGGGGUGGAAUUCCACGUGUAGCAGUGAAAUGCGUAGAGAUGUGGAGGAACACCGAUGGCGAAGGCAGCCCCCUGGGAUGACACUGACGCUCAUGUACGAAAGCGCGGGUAGCAAACAG
rnacentral:rRNA from 1 species